GGAAAGUGAAAUGAUCAAAUUCAAUUCAAUCUUCAGACUGAUUUUUGAGUUUACAACUUCACAUUAUACAAAACGUCAAAACCUAAAGUAAGAACUCUUUUCCUCUUAAUUUCUCUCUGUGUUGCACUUGUACAGUUCUUUUCAUGUUAGUUAUUAUUAUUUCUAUUUUAUGAGCGUUCUAUUAUUGUUUUGUCACGUCAAGUUGACGUUGGAGAAGUCAUAUAUUUGUUUUAUAAGCAUUUUUUCUUAUUGGUUAAACUGAAAACCGAUAAAUU
rnacentral:misc_RNA from 1 species